rnacentral:rRNA from 1 species
UACGUAGGGGGCAAGCGUUGUCCGGAUUUAUUGGGCGUAAAGAGCGUGUAGGCGGCCAGACAGGUCCGUUGUGAAAACUCGAGGCUCAACCUCGAGACGCCGAUGGAAACCGUCUGGCUAGAGUCCGGAAGAGGAGAGUGGAAUUCCCGGUGUAGCGGUGAAAUGCGCAGAUAUCGGGAAGAACACCCGUGGCUAAGGCGGCUCUCUAGUACGGUACUGACGCUGAGACGGCGAAAGCGUGGGGAGCGAACGAGG